AUUGAACGCUGGCGGCAUGCCUUACACAUGCAAGUCGAACGGCAGCACGGGAGCAAUCCUGGUGGCGAGUGGCGAACGGGUGAGUAAAGUAUCGGAACGUGCCCAGUCGUGGGGGAUAACGUAGCGAAAGUUACGCUAAUACCGCAUACGAUCUAUGGAUGAAAGCGGGGGAUCGCAAGACCUCGCGCGAUUGGAGCGGCCGAUAUCAGAUUAGGUAGUUGGGCGGGUAAAGGCUCACCAAGCCGACGAUCUGUAGCUGGUCUGAGAGGACGACCAGCCACACUGGGACUGGGACACGGCCCAGACUCCUACGGGAGGCAGCAGUGGGGAAUUUUGGACAAUGGGCGAAAGCCUGAUCCAGCCAUGCCGCGUGCAGGAUGAAGGCCUUCGGGUUGUAAACUGCUUUUGUACGGAACGAAAAGGUUUGGGCUAAUAAGCUGAGCUCAUGACGGUACCGUAAGAAUAAGCACCGGCCAACUACGUGCCAGCCGCCGCGGUAA
rnacentral:rRNA from 1 species